rnacentral:tRNA from 1 species
CGCUCUCGGCUGGGAUUCGAACCCAGGACUCUUGAAUACUAGACGAGCAUUUCACCACCUGAGCUAUCGAGC